CUGGAGACAAAGACCAAUCAAGACUUUCUCUGCCAUGGAGAGUUAAGAUCGCCAUGGUCAAAUUAUUUUCAUUCUGUCGAUAAAAUAAAAGGUCUUUACAAAAACAAAGUUGCUCUCUUUCAUGCCUGGAUUCACAUCUGCAUGCACACAUACGUGCACACUCAACACAAGGUUGUUCCAAGAUACUCAGAGUCCUCUCUUUGGGAUACUCUUCAUUGAUUAGGAGCACUAGGAAUAUUUAUACUGCCUACUCUCACUUACUUUAUAUGAUUACUAAAUGGUUUCUGUAAAAUAACAGGCGAAUUGCUCAACAUUGCUUUUUAAGGGACUAUGUCUUGACUUGUCAAAUUUAUGAGUGGCUAAAUUGCUUUAUGCACAUCUGAAAAAAUUACUUAUCCCAGAACAGGCAAGCUAACACAUUUGUAUUCAAGUUGAUUAGAGCUUUGUUUCGUUUCUGAGGAUUUUUUUUCUCGACAUAACAUUCCAGAAUGUGACUUUUUCUUCCCUCCUUUUUUCUCCUAUCUCUGUAGGAUGCAGGCAUGUCCACGGGCAGACUACAAUGGGCUCUGCCUUUUCUGUCCAGCUUCACUGUACCCUAAGGAGGCUGAGAGGAAGCUAACAAGAGUAUAGGAGGACUUUCCGGAAGCAACAAAGAACUUGAAGAAAGAUGCAUCUUCCUUCACUGGCACCACCCAAUCCCUUCAAUAAAAAAAAUCAAAAGAAAUCAAAAGGAGAGGAUAAAGACCUGCAUUAGAAUCACAUCUCCUCUACCUACCAGCCUUGUGAUUUUGGCAACAAACAGAUGGAGUUUAGGAUUGGUGAAUUCAAAUCAUCAAGCUCACAAACUGGGAGAAGAUGGACUGGGUCUAAGAACAGACUGCAUUGUUGAAGACAAAAUGAAAGGGUAA
rnacentral:lncRNA from 1 species